GACGAACGCUGGCGGCGUGCCUAACACAUGCAAGUCGAACGGAGAUUUUAUUUAUGAAAUCUUAGUGGCGGACGGGUGAGUAACGCGUGGGUAAUCUACCUCAUACAGGGGGAUAACAGUUGGAAACGGCUGCUAAGACCGCAUAAGCAUACAUUGUCGCAUGGCAGAGUGGGAAAAUAUUUAUAGGUAUGAGAUGGGCCCGCGUCUGAUUAGCUAGUUGGUAAGGUAACGGCUUACCAAGGCGACGAUCAGUAGCCGGCUUGAGAGAGUGACCGGCCACAUUGGGACUGAGACACGGCCCAAACUCCUACGGGAGGCAGCAGUGGGGAAUAUUGCACAAUGGGGGAAACCCUGAUGCAGCGACGCCGCGUGAGUGAAGAAGUAUUUCGGUAUGUAAAGCUCUAUCAGCAGGGAAGAAAAUGACGGUACCUGACUAAGAAGCUCCGGCUAACUACGUGCCAGCAGCCGCAGUAA
rnacentral:rRNA from 1 species